GCUCCACUGAACUGAAGCUGCGAAAGUAGGAGCUGCCUCCGCCGCGCGUCGGGGGAGCCGGAGUUGCUUCUCAGCAACAGCUGCUGCCACCACCCCCUCCUCCUCUCCCUUUCCCUCUUCUCCUCCUCGGGUCUCCGGCGGCCGCCAUGUUAGGUCGGGAUGAUGAACUGGGGCUGCCUUGAAGGGGACCCGACGCCUCGUCGCCCGCCUCCUGGUGCGCGUGUGGAAAGGCGAGCAUCCCGGCUCCUCCCUCUCCUCUCGGCCUGGGCUUGCGAUACGGCCUCUGGAGGCGACGGUAGGGCUCGCCGUUUCCCUGGGAGUCCCUGGCUGGAGGCUAUGGGGCGGUUGUGGCAGGGCUGAGCACGUCGGACUGUACCUGAGCCCGAGGAGUAUAACAGAGACGCGGGGUCCCCCCCCCCUCCUCUCGCCUCUCCAAACAGCGAGAUUCGCCGCCGGACCAACUCCGCUCGUCCUGAAGCGGAAGCGAGAGCCCUGCAAGGAGGAGGGCAAGGGGGGGACUCGGCGGUUUCCCCCGGAGUGGCCCACGGACAGCAGAAAAGACCAUGGGGUGCAUUAAGAGCAAGGAAGACAAAAGUCCUACCAUGAAAUAUAGAACUGAGAAUACUCCAGAGACAAUUACUUCUCCUGUCAGCAAUUAUGGAUCUGAUUCAACCCAAGCUAAUCAGUCACCUGUAGUAAAAGGAUCAUCGAUUAAUUUUAAUAGCCAUUCCAUGACUCCUUUUGGUGGGUCAUCUGGUAUGACACCUUUUGGAGGAGCAUCUUCUUCAUUUUCUCCAGUGCCAUGUCCAUAUCCUAGUGGUCUAACAGGUAAUCAUGGUCUUAAAAUUACCAUCAGAUAGCAAAAAAAAAAAAACCUUCAGUAAUACCGAAACAAGAAUUGCACGUGAUUUAGUCUAAAAUGUGUUAUGUAUUUUAAAAAAAACUAUUGUAAGACUGUACAAAAGUCAAGCAGUAUUAGAGAAAAGCUUGAUUUUGCUGCAAACCAUAUGAGUGUGCUGUGCUCCAAACAAUAUGCAAAAGAUGAUUAAAAAAAUAAA